CUGCAUUCACCAGCCCAGAAAUCACUAACCCCUCUCUUCUUUCAGUAUCCUCCUCUCCCCUUUCAAGAAACCUGGACUCCGGCCUCCAUCGCGCCACCUCUUGUGGCCGAAUUCUCCCGCCCCUCUCUUCUUUCAUUCUCCUCCUCUCUCUCUUUUCAAGAACCAUGAAAUCCAGCCUUCAUCGCGCCCUCUCUUGUGGCCGAGCAGAACAGAGGGAGGCGGCGGCGGUGGGAACUACGGUUGGAACUGACGGUGGUGGCGCCGGCGAGGCAGAGGCGACAGGGGAAAAAAAUCUCUCUCCUCUCAUUUGUUUUAGGUUUUAUUUUGCGUCGUUUUUGGUAAGCUCUUGAGCUCCGAGUUGUUAAUCCUUCAUUUUUUCGUCUUUUAUUCCAAUUUUGGUUUAAUCUGUUGGUGUUUUCUUCGCUAAUUUUUUUUUGGUAUGUGUUGUUUUGAACAUUUUGGUCUAAUUUAUCGGUGACCUUUUGGCGUGAGUUUGAUUGGUAUUUUUGUUUGCAAUCGGUUUGAUUUACUUAUUGUCAUUUUUAUGUUGGUGAAUUGAUGAUGUUGAUCUUUCAGCUGUCGAGCAUCUCCAUAAUGGUCUUCUCUCGAAUUAUGGGUAAAUUUAUGUGCCAUUUUGCUUGUUUAUUGCUUAAUUUUAGUCUUUUUAACCUAAUUCUUGAAAUAUCAGCAACUGACGUUGUAAAGUGCUAAUCAAUAAUCACUUUUAGAAGAUCGGCUCUUGUUGAGCUCGAUACCAAGUCCAGUCUUUCGAAUUUUAGGGAUAUCUUUAUGCCAAUUUGGGUUAUCAAAUUAGACCAGAUCGUUGUAUAUUACAAAAACAGUAAGGUAUUAUUUUGGUCCAGUUAUUUUUGGGUGGUAGUAAAACUUUCUGAUCUUGUCUGGAAGAAAGAUGAACAAACAUUUCUUGUGUUUUCCGCUGCCUCAGUCUAUAUUAGCAGAUUAUUGUCUACGUCGUCUUCACUAGAACAACAAAAAAAUGAGCAAAAAGUAACUACAGAGAUUGUUCGGAGUAUUGGGGUUCAAGAGGGUAGUUUGUGUUUUGAUCAAAGAGGGCUGAAACUCUCAGUAUCGAGUAUCAUAGUAUUAAACGAGUUAUUGUGCGGAAAUCCCACAUCAUUUGUAGACAAUGUAGAGUUAGCGGAUCAAUGAACCUGGAAAUGAUGAAUAGUGAUGCAAUCUUUAGAGAAAGGAGAAAGGAAUUUUGUAAUUUGAACGUUGAUUGUUGAUUUUGGGAAUACUCUUUGACAUAUAGAGGCAAGGACUUUGUACGUCUAGACUUUCCAAGCCUCGCCUAAGCAAGAUAGCUGUUGAGUACUGUUCUGGUUAUUUUAUGAAAUGCAAGCAUCUUGAUCUUUUUUAAACCAUAGUUCCUGUCUUAAUUGAUUGCUCAACUUUCAUGAUAAAUCAUACCCUUAAUAGCUUAUUUGAGGCCCUUGAUAACUAAUUAGUUAGAAUUAGAAACAAACACGUGGUAUAAAAACAUAGCUUACUAAUACUGGUGCUAUUUCCGCAUUGUUAGUUAUAGAAUAUUUGAUUUAGUUAUCAACUUAUGAUUGAGUCUCUGUCAGUUAUUAUUUACCUAUACGGAAAAUGAUUAUGGCAAAUGAAUAUUUGAGUUAGUUAUCACUUAUGAUUAGGCUGAGCUGCAGUUUGACUAAAUUUUGAUACUUUGAAGGACAACAAUCUAUGCUCGUUUUUCCCACACCGUAAUUCAUUUGUGUAUUACGGAGUAUGUUGUAUCUCACGUCUAAACCUCUAAACUUGUACAACUUCUGUUGAAAGGACAGUUAGAUGUUCUAUAGCAGGGCCUUGCAAAAUUCAGAAUUCCGAUUUCCUUUCAUAAUUUCCUUCUCUUUCUCCUUGACGAUAUGAUCCUGGUUAAGAUGCUGUCUAUUGUCAAGUACCUUGAGCUAUUUCUAUUUCAAGAGUAAAAUGUCAUUUUGUUUAUUCUUUAAUAUGAUCCUGUUUCACGAAUUGGUUUUUCUUUAUAAAUGUAUUUUGUGAUUAUCUUGAUAUAUUGAUGUUUAAUUGUAAUAGCAUGUUGCUGAGAUUCCGCAUGAGAAUCAAUUUGUCGUAGACACCAUAAAAAUUGAUCAUGGAACAAUGUCAUAUUUGGAGAAAAUAGACUUCCUCCAAGGUAAUCUACUGGCAGCUCACAGUGUUUGGGUCAAUGAUAAUGAGGUAAUUGCGCUGCAGAGUUUAUUUUUGUUCUCUUCUCUGCAAAAACUUAUAAGAGGGACCUAAUGUUAGUUAGCAUGUUCAAUUUCUUGUCAUGGAUUAGGUAAAUGUUGUGAGUCGUUAUCUGACAAUUUGUUACGCCAGUGGUUGGAAAUUGAAUUCAACUUGUUAGUAAGAUAUAUCCUACAUAACCUUAUCAGACGUUAGAAAGUUCAAAGCUGCCUUUAGUUUCUCUUUUGAAGCUUUGUAUUUACUUAUAUAGUGGAACAACUUUUGAUAUCCUUGUCAAAUAUGUUUGAGAGAGACCUAUUUCAUGACGAUUGGGUAGAGUUGUGGUGGAUCUAUAUAGACGAGAGUUGUAAACUGAGGGUAAACACCUCACCUGUUUGCGGUAUAUCCAAGUAGCAUGCUUUCUUUAGGAAAAAUUGUGCAUAUUAAAUAAUACUUGUAUGUGACUACAGUCUAUUGUCCCUCUAGCAGAUUGAUUAUCUGUCAAAGGCUGAGUAAAGGUAUCUCAUUGUCCAGCUGCAGCAAUGUGGAUGCUUGGAUUUGCACCUAUAGGGAAAAUGAUUAAUGCUGGAGUUUGCGUCUCUCUGGAACAUAUGGAGCUCCAAUCGAACAAUAGACUCAUGGAAUACUGAAUGCAGUUAGUUGGGGACUAUUAUUUCCAAUUGGAGCUAUCAUAGCAAGAUAUGUGAGAACAAUUGAGUUAGCAGAUCCUGUCUGGUUUGAUAUUCAUGUUGCUUGCCAAAUAUCUGGAUAUGCUAUUGGUGUUGUCGGCUGGGCCACCGGUCUUCAGCUCGGAACAAGUCGGUUGGGAUUGUAUACACGAGCCAUCUCUACACCGUAUGCUCAAUGUUUUUGAUGUAUUCCCGGUCAAUGUUCCAGGCUGUUUUUAUUCUCGAGAAUCUCGACUACUACUGUUUUAUUCUUGCUUUGGCUGCUAUUCUGCUCCACUAUUGUUGAUCUGCUGAGAUCUGUCUUGUUAUUUGAAGGCUGGACAUAUUGCAAUGCGGUAGAUGGAGCUUGUUUGAAGAGUCUUGUUUUUAGCAAGAGUUGCCUCAUUUAUCUUUUGGAGUUUGUAUUUUUCAUUGUUGAGCGUGUGUUUGCCCCUUUGUUUUGUUUUUUUAGUAGUUGUAUAGGUUUUGGUUUGUUUUGUUUGUGAGUGGUUGUUUUUUUCAACCUUGUAAAUACACAGUUCGUCUUUAGUUACCAAUUUUAAUACAAUAAUGAUUUAUCCAAAAAAAAAUAAGUAGAGUUGGCAAUUCGGUUA